rnacentral:rRNA from 1 species
UACGUAGGUGGCAAGCGUUGUCCGGAUUUACUGGGCGUAAGGAGCGCGCAGGCGGUCGUUCAAGUCGCGUGUGAAAGCCCCCGGCUCAACUGGGGAGGGUCACGCGAUACUGAUCGACUCGAAGGCAGGAGAGGGUAGUGGAAUUCCCGGUGUAGUGGUGAAAUGCGUAGAUAUCGGGAGGAACACCAGUGGCGAAGGCGACUACCUGGCCUGUUCUUGACGCUGAGGAGCGAAAGCUGGGGGAGCAAACAGG